rnacentral:rRNA from 1 species
UAAUACAGAGGUCCCGAGCGUUGUUCGGAAUCACUGGGCGUAAAGGGCGUGUAGGCGGGAAGGAAAGUCAGAUGUGAAAUCCCUGGGCUCAACCCAGGAACUGCAUUUGAAACUCCCUUUCUUGAGUGUCGGAGAGGAAAGUGGAAUUCCUGGUGUAGAGGUGAAAUUCGUAGAUAUCAGGAGGAACACCGGUGGCGAAGGCGGCUUUCUGGACGACAACUGACGCUGAGACGCGAAAGCGUGGGGAGCAAACAGGAUUAGAUACCCUGGUAGUCCACGCUGUAAACGAUGAACACUAGGUGUCGUGGGUAUUGACCCCCGCGGUGCCGCAGCUAACGCAUUAAGUGUUCCGCCUGGGAAGUACGGUCGCAAGACU